CAACAAAUAUUUUAAUUAAAAUAUUAAUUUUGGGUAUUAGAGAUGUAAAGGGUUUUUACUUUGUUGA
rnacentral:tRNA from 1 species